rnacentral:rRNA from 1 species
UAUUAGAGGCACCGCCUGCCCAGUGACACAUGUUAAACGGCCGCGGUAUUCUGACCGUGCAAAGGUAGCAUAAUCAUUUGUUCUCUAAUUAAGGACUAGCAUGAACGGCUUGACGAGGGUUUUACUGUCUCCUACCUCCAAUCAGUGAAAUUGACCUUCCCGUGAAGAGGCGGGAAUAAUAAUAUAAGACGAGAAGACCCUGUGGAGCUUAAAUUAUUAGCCCAAUAUAUAAUUAUUACUCCAAUAGGAACAACAAUCAACAAACUGGGCUAAAAAUUUUGGUUGGGGUGACCUCGGAGAACAAAAAAUCCUCCGAAUGAUUAACAUCUAGGCUUUACCAGCCGAAAUAUUCACUAUCAUAUAUUGAUCCAAGACAAUUGAGCAACGGAACAAGUUACCCCAGGGAUAACAGCGCAAUCCUAUUCUAGAGUCCCUAUCGACAAUAGGGUUUACGACCUCGAUGUUGGAUCAGGACAUCCUAAUGGCGC